UAUACAGGAAUUCAUUAUUGCUAGGUUCCACAGUUCCUUUAAAAGAUUGAGCUAGACAAUGCAUCUACUAAUUAAAAAAAAAAUCAGUUUACAAAAAUAAUUAGUUUUAAAUGAAUACUAUGCUUUUGUGGCUUUUCAUGACAUUCAUCAAAGCUGCAUAUAAAAGUUUAUGUUAUGAACUAACUACUCUCUGCCCUGUGAUUAAAGGGCACAUGAUGACCUCACGAACCACCCUUUAGACUUCCAGUGCUUCUGGCUUUAAUAUUCUGUGCUAGAUUCACAGAGAUCUUCUACAGAUGCUAAGCGUUCAAUCCUGAAGGCUCCACUUCAUCAUCAGGAAGAGUAUGUAAAACUCUGAAUUUCAAAGCUGUGCUACUCUAAAAUUCCUUUUCCAUGAAUACUCAGUUCACUCAUGUCCUGCCAAUUUAGAUAUGACUAAAAUUAUCAACAGAGAGAUCAAGAGUGCAUUUCCCUGCUACAUGUUCAGCACUGCAGCAGCAGAACAGAAAAAACCCAGCAUCAGACAGAAGUGACUUCUACAGACAGCCCAGUACCUGAGGAGGAUUAGAAGUAGUACACAAGAUCCAGAGAUUAUUCCUGGUGAAAUUAUAACAGUGUUAACAGAGAUCAAAUAUAAUUUAUUUUGUCUCAUUUUCUGAGAAUGAAAUCUGUUGCUGCGGCUGUUUGUCUCUCCUCUGCCACUCUCUUUGAUCUACUUUGUUUUCUCAUACAAAUAUUGUAUGUAAUUAUGACAGUUAUGCCAACCUUUAAAAUAAAAUCUCUUUUGCUUUGUGGAGGGUUACAUACUAGUGCUACCAGACUUCUCAUAAACCCUGAAUAAAAUGCUCUGACAUUCUAACAGAUGAAAAAAUAAUUAUCUAGAACUUAUUUCAGAACUUGCUAAUUAAGAUUAUGAACUGCUUCCAUUAAAAACUCCAGUUUAGCUUUCAUUCUUUUAAAGAAUGAAAUGAUCUGUUUUUUAAUCAUCAGGAUGAAAAAUCUUUUUUGUUUAAUUCACAAACUUUUGUUUGCUGGAAGUUGCUGGGAAGGAAGUUGGUGCAAAAGACAAGUAUCUUAUCUCCUUUUUCAAAAGAGAUUUAAAAGUGAGUAAAUAAUAAUAAAAAUUAAAAAGGUUUUCCACUGGAGACAGCCUUCAAUGAACACUAGUUAAGUCCAUCACUCACUAAAACUUGAAAACUUAUAAUGACAUAUUUGGAAGAUUUUUCAUAUUGCUUUUAGUACAUAUUAGAUAAUGUAGAAACUGAAAAGUUUCUGUUCCUAUAUCUCUCUUUAGUAUGAACUCAUACUGAGAGUUAGUUUUUCACAUUCUGCUGCAAUCAGCCCUGGUUGCUUCAUUGCCUUCAUCUUGGGUAGCCACCAAUGUUAACACAAAAGGACGCAGUGUGCCACCAUUAUGACCCCACUGAAGGAAAUAUACAUAAAUUCGGGUGAUUAUAGAAAAGUGAAGAAAAAUAGGGACUCAGAUAUUUUGGUAACAUACAAUGAACUCUAACAGAAAAUAUAAAGAGGGAGGAUGAGACUGAGGUUUUCACACACACCAGUGAAUUCUUAACCAACUUGAAUGCUAAGAACUGUUGCUUUAUUUAUAAGAAAGAAGUUACUUAAUGAAGUGAAAUCAUUCUUCUUCCAAGUUCAUAGUAUUAUGGUUUAAAAGUUCUGUAAAGGAUAGGGGGCUUUAAGAAAAACACUCCUUCUGACACUGAUUAGGAUUCAACACCACAUUUCAUGAGUCAGACUAAAAAACCCCUGUAAUUUGACUGGAUGCUACUGACAUCUUAUGAAAGAUCCCUGCAAGUUAUCAUCACUACAAUUUCUGCCAAUGCUUUUUUUUUGCUGUGUAUUGCUGUAUGGUAUUGCACUGUAGAAUUAGUUCUAAAUAAUUUUGUAUUGUUUUUCUUGCCUGGCCUAGGAGCCCUAUCCAUGGUUCUCCAAAAACUUAUCAGCAAUUAAUAAAUUCUUCCCCUCUAUUCUCUACCCUCUGCACAAAUAUGUCUUUGAAACAAAUUAUGAAUAUCAUGACUUUGCUAAAUGCAUUGAGGUCUAUUUCCUUUUGAUUCGACAAAUGUAAUUUUGUCUGCCAGAGACACAUACUAGUUAUGCCCUGAUAUGCUAACAUUAUUUGACAUCUUUCCCUCUCACUUGUUAAUGGAGUCCUUCACUGCAACCAUGC